rnacentral:rRNA from 1 species
UACGUAGGGCGCAAGCGUUGUCCGGAAUUAUAGGGCGUAAAGAGCUCGUAGGCGGCUUGUCACGUCGGGUGUGAAAGCCCGGGGCUUAACCCCGGGUCUGCAUUCGAUACGGGCUAGCUAGAGUGUGGUAGGGGAGAUCGGAAUUCCUGGUGUAGCGGUGAAAUGCGCAGAUAUCAGGAGGAACACCGGUGGCGAAGGCGGAUCUCUGGGCCAUUACUGACGCUGAGGAGCGAAAGCGUGGGGAGCGAACAGG